UACGGGGGGGGUAAGCGUUGUUCGGAAUUACUGGGCGUAAAGGGCUCGUAGGCGGCCAACUAAGUCAUACGUGAAAUCCCUCAGCUUAACUGGGGAACUGCGUGUGAUACUGGAUGGCUUGGAUUUGGGAGAGGGAUGCGGAAUUCCAGGUGUAGCGGUGAAAUGCGCAGAUAUCAGGAGGAACACCGGUGGCGAAGGCGGGUCUCUGGGCCGGUACUGACGCUGAGGCACGAAAGCGUGGGGAGCAAACAGG
rnacentral:rRNA from 1 species